rnacentral:rRNA from 1 species
GUGCCAGCAGCCGCGGUAAUACGUAGGGAACUAGCGUUGUCCGGAAUUACUGGGUGUAAAGGGGGCGUAGGCGGUAAAAGAAGUCAUCUGUGAAAACCUAUUGCUCAACGAUAGGCUAGCGGAUGAAACUGAAUUACUUGAGGGCACCAGAGGUAGACGGAAUUACCCGAGUAGGGGUGAAAUCCGCAGAUACGGGUAGGAACGCCGGUGGAGAAGUCGGUCUACUGGGGUGUAACAGACGCUGAGGCCCGAAAGCUAGGGGAGCAAACCGGAUUAGAUACCCGGGUAGUCCUAGCCGUAAACGAUGCUCACUAGGUGUAGGGAGUGACGAACUCUCUGUGCUGAAGCAAACGCGCUAAGUGAGCCGCCUGGGGAGUACGUCCGCAAGGAUGAAACUCAAAUGAAUUGGCGG